ACACCCAUCAAGCCUGGCUUGGUAUUGGGCGUCGGAAAUUCCUCCGCGUCCCGAUUUCGCCGGCUGGACGACCCCGAUCUCAAGCGUUGUGAUGAAUCUCGCUGGAAGGACGGGCGGCCACGCCGUUAACCUCGUAAUCAA
rnacentral:misc_RNA from 1 species